rnacentral:rRNA from 1 species
UACAGAGGGGGCAAGCGUUGUUCGGAAUUACUGGGCGUAAAGGGCUCGUAGGUGGCCAACUAAGUCAGACGUGAAAUCCCCAGGCUCAACUUGGGAACUGCGUCUGAUACUGGAUGGCUUGAAUCCGGGAGAGGGAUGCAGAAUUCCAGGUGUAGCGGUGAAAUGCGUAGAUAUCUGGAGGAAUACCGGUGGCGAAGGCGGCAUCCUGGACCGGGAUUGACACUGAGGAGCGAAAGCUAGGGGAGCAAACGGG